GAGGAGGCGGGACCUGGUCGCCGGCCACGUGACGUCAUCCUGCAGCCCUGGAGCGUCGUCGCGCCGCAGCUCAGAUAGCUGAGACUCCGAACUUUGACGCAAAGACGAGGAACAGCCUCGAGAAUUAGGGGCACGCUCUCAUCUGCUUGCAAGAACAACAACAGAGG